rnacentral:rRNA from 1 species
GCUCAGGAUGAACGCUGCGGCAUGCCUUAACACAUGCAAGUCGAACGGGAAGUGGUGUUUCCAGUGGCGAACGCGUGAGUAACGCGUAUAGAACCUGCCCUUGGGAGGGGAACAACAACUGGAAACGGUUGCUAAUAACCCCGUAGGCUGAGGAGCAAAAGGAGAAAUCCGCCCAAGGAGGGGCUCGCGUCUGAUUAGCUAGUGGUGAGGCAAUGUAGCUUACCAAGGCGAUAUCAGUUAGCUGGUCCGAGAGGAGGAUCCGGCCACACGGGACUGAGACCACGGCCAGAACCUACGGGAGGCAGCAGUGGGAAUUUUACGCAAUGGGCGAAAGCCUGACGGAGCAAUGCCGCGGGAGGUGAAGGCCUACGGGUCGUCAACUUCUUUUUCGGAGAAGAAACAGUGAAAACCGGUAUCGAGGAAUAAGCAUCGGCUAACUCUGUGACCAGCAGCCGGCGGUAAGACAGAGGAUGCAAGAGUGAGAAGGAAGGAGAGGGGAGGAGCUCCCUUCUCCUAUCUCUCACUUUCUCCCCGUCUGUAGGGGGCUUUUCAAGUCCGCCGUCAAAUCCCAGGGCUCAACCCUGGACAGGCGGUGGAAACUACCAAGCGGGUACGGUAGGGGCGAGGGAAUUGCCGGUGGAGCGGUGGAAAUGCAUUGAGAUCGGAAAGGAACACCAACGGCGAAGCACUCUGCUGAGGGCCGACACUGACACUGAGAGACGAAAGCUAGGGGAGAAAAUGGGAUUAGAGACCCCAGUAGUCCUAGCCGUAAACGAUGGAUACUAGGUGUGUGCGACGCGCCCCGUAGUGCUGUAGCUAACGCGUUAAGUAUCCCGCUGGGGAGUACGUUCGCAAGAAUGAAAUCAAAGGAAAUUGACGGGGCCCACAAGCGGUGGAGCUUGGUUAAUUCGAUUGGCAAAGAGAAGAACCUUACCAGGGCUUGACAUGCCGCGAAUCCUCUUGAAGAGAGGGUGCCUCGGAAACGCGGACCACAGGUGGUGCAUGGCUGUGUCAGCUUGUCCGUAAGGUGUUGGGUUAAGUCUCGCAACGAGCGCGCAACCUCGUGUUGUUGGCACUAUGAGUUGAACCCUGGAACAGACGCCGGUGUUAAGCCGGAGGAAGGAGAGGAUGAGGCCAAGGCCAAGUCAUCAUGCCCCUAUGCCCUGGGCGACACACACGUUAACAUGGGGGGACAAAGGGUCGCGAUCUCGCGAGGGUGAGCUAACUCCAAAAACCCGUCCUCAGUUCGGAUGCAGGCUGCCAACUCGCUGCAUGAAGCAGGAAUCGCUAUAAUCGCCGGUCAGCCAUACGGCGGUGAAUCCGUUCCCGGGCCUUGUACACACGGCCCGUCACACUCUAGGGUGGCCAGGUUUGAAGUCAUUACCUUAACCGUCAGGAGGGGGGAUGCCUAAGGCUAGGCUUGCGACUGGAGUGAAGUCGUAACAAGGGUAGCCGUUACUGGAAGGGCGGCUG